CUUCGGAUUCAUGGUGUGGGAACCCCCGAGAUAUAGUGCUCGGAUCACUAUUCAGGGUUUUGCGCCUGUACGCUCUGAUGAUCCGAAGGGAUGCGAGCGGGAUAUAUUCCCACCGACCUCACAUCUAAGCGCAAUAUAAAAUAGUAAUAC